UACUGUGACCUUGAAUUUCCCCUAGGGAUCGUCCGUCCAUCCGUCCGUCUGUCUGUCUGUGUCUAGUUGUUUACUCCGGUGUUUAUCCCCAGACAUUAGUCUGUGGUUUAGAAUCUGAGUGAAGAAUAAAUAAUAAUAUCAGAGGAACACCAGCUGAGCAGCAGUGGUCAACACAGUGCCGCCUGCUGGUGGAAGACAAAUCACAUUGUGCCUGUGUUUACUGUCAUGUGUCCUGAAGGGGGGGGGGACAAACAAAAACAGCACAUUUGAUAUGCAUUCACACAGUGAAACUUUUUCUUUUGAUUGAUAUUUCACUUUCAGGUUUUUCAGCCCAGGGUUUCUGUAAUUCCCAUUGUAGUGAUCACACACAGACAGGUACCACUUAUGAAUACAUCCAUUGAUUUGUUCAUUGGCCUUACUGUGUGUAUAGCCAUCUACACCACUUUUUUUAUUCCCAUGAGUUUGAAGAAUGAACAUAAAGAUCAGGCUGGAAAUGGAAACCAAGGACAAAGGAGCUAACAGCAGAUGAAAAAUGCAAGGACAAAAAUCAGAGAUGUGAUUAUCUUAACAUGUAUUGUUAUUGUGUCGAAGGUGCUAUGUACAAUUGAACAAGGAAUUCUAACAUUAUAGUCACAUUUCUAUGACACCCCUCCCAUCCCAAAGCAAACCUAUGCUCUGAGAAAAAAAAAGAUGUUCAUCUCUCAGGGUGGUUAAUACUGUAAUACAGGUGUUUGUCCUUCAUGUUUAGAUAUCAAAUUAAUUAAUUAUUAUGUUAUGUCUCUCUGUGCCCUUUACUUUCACUGUUGGUAGUGUUGUAGUUGAGGGGGAUGGAAGUAUUGUCAGGCUGAAAGUUGACCUAUUAUUAACAGGUGAAAAAAGGCCUACCCCUCCCCCCUCUUUUAACAUUACACACAUGCUUGACAAUCCAUGUUUCUUCGCUCAACAUUUUUCUUUUGAUUUACCAGUAAAUUUAACAUUGAUUAAAAUCUAUCAUGUUUCACUUCUUUUUA